rnacentral:pre_miRNA from 1 species
ACAUGAAUCAUUGGAGAUCUUCAUUAAAAGCAGAUUCUGAUUCAGUAGGUCUGGAGAAGGGCCCGAAAUUCUGCAUUUACAGAUAGCUCUUAGAAGAGUCUCUU